CCUACGGGAGGCAGCAGUGGGGAAUAUUGGACAAUGGGCGAAAGCCUGAUCCAGCCAUGCCGCGUGUGUGAAGAAGGCCUUCGGGUUGUAAAGCACUUUCAGUGGGGAAGAAAGCCUUGGGGCUAAUACCCUCGAGGAAGGACAUCACCCACAGAAGAAGCACCGGCUAACUCCGUGCCAGCAGCCGCGGUAAUACGGAGGGUGCGAGCGUUAAUCGGAAUUACUGGGCGGAAAGCGCGCGUAGGCGGUCUGAUAAGCCGGUUGGGAAAGCCCCGGGCUCAACCUGGGAACGGCAUCCGGAACUGUCAGGCUAGAGUGCAGGAGAGGAAGGUAGAAUUCCCGGUGUAGCGGUGAAAUGCGUAGAGAUCGGGAGGAAUACCAGUGGCGAAGGCGGCCUUCUGGACUGACACUGACGCUGAGGUGCGAAAGCGUGGGUAGCAAACAGGAUUAGAUACCCUGGUAGUC
rnacentral:rRNA from 1 species